rnacentral:rRNA from 1 species
UACAGAGGGUGCGAGCGUUGUCCGGAAUCACUGGGCGUAAAGGGCGCGUAGGUGGCGAUCCAAGUCCAUGGUGAAAGCUCGAUGCUCAACAUCGAGUCGGCCACGGAUACUGGGUUGCUUGAGCACUGUAGGGGCAGAUGGAAUUCCGGGUGUAGCGGUGGAAUGCGUAGAGAUCCGGAAGAACACCGGUGGCGAAGGCGGUCUGCUGGGCAGUAGCUGACACUGAGGCGCGACAGCGUGGGGAGCAAACAGG